rnacentral:tRNA from 1 species
GGAAGAUUGGCAGAGUCUGGUUUAUUGCGUUUGUCUUGAAAACAAAUGAGGGUAAAACCUCCACUGGUUCGAAUCCAGUAUCUUCCU